UCCUUAUCACCUAUAGCCGGGUCAGGUCCAGAACAUUCAGAGAUAGGAGAAAGCAGCUCGGAGGGACCAAGGAGGUUCAGGACUCUUCAAGAAAUUUAUGACAACACAGUGGAGGUCGACCAAGACUACGGUCUUUACCUCAUGUCAAUUGAAGAACCGGCAUCUUACCAUGAAGCUGCCUACAGUGAACAUUGGCGAUAAGCAAUG
rnacentral:lncRNA from 1 species